ensembl:lncRNA
GGUGGGCCGCCACAUUUCUGCCGCCUCGUUUGGCUGAUGACUGCUUGUCCAGUGCAUGAAAACUCCUUGUUCUGUGAACUUGUUCAAUCUCAAGUGUUUGGAUUAAUUAUUGAACUGAACAGUGAAGAAAUCCGCCAUUUUUAAUCUGGGAAGAUCAGAACCACGUCACUGGUUGGUGAUAUUUAACACCAAAGGAUGUGAGGCUGAGGAAUCUCACGUUGGUCCCGGGGCUGAGUCUGCUGCCCCGGCGGCGACCCCAGAGAGCCCCGCGGACGAACCCAAAGCGGCCGCCGUUGAGCAGAGUCCCCCCGCGCCCGUGGAGCCAAGUGUGGACGAGAAAACCGACGAAGAAGGCGACGUCUCCAACAAGACCUCUGUGGAGUCGCUGAAAGAGACCAACGAGAACAACAGCAAUAAUGCCGACUUCAAUGCGACUGGAGAUGUGAUCAGCAUCAACUUCUGGGACGUUCCUCUCAAUAGUCCGCUGUGAGACAUUUCACCUAUCUGUGCUGUUCUUCAGGAACUUGAUUGAAGGAGUGACCACGACGGAGAAGGGCACGUCUGCUCGUACCGUGUGAGAUAUUUAGCGGGCUGUUUUCUCCUUGUUAGAAACAAAUUUACUGCAGCAGAGCAGCUUUUUCCCAGUUAAACGUUAGCUGAACUCUGAGUUUUAAGCAUUUUAGUGAUUUAACGGUGACUAUUUAGUUGGUCUAUAUACUAAAUGUGAUUACGUUUGGUACUGCAGAACAGUAAUACACGUUGAAUUUCAUCUCCCAAGCCAUUCAGCUUUUAUAAACUUAUAUAAACAUAUUAUACGUGGUUUCUAACACACUGAGAUGUAGUUUUAAGCAGCCAUAAUUUACUCUUUUUGUGGAAAUAUAUUAAUAGAGUAAAAUACAUUUGUAUUAAUAUACUUUACAUUAAUCAAACCUAACUGAUAUUCUUUCAUCACAUAACGAUAAACACAUUUGUAAAUAAUGAUGUAUAAAUAAGCAAGACGUUAUAAGAUUGUCAGAUUUAAAUCAGUGUUCUUUCUUAAAUUUAUGAUGUAAUGGUAUUUUGUAACUCAUGCAUUUUGAUUUUUUCAUGUGUUUCCCAUUCAGUAGUGUGAAGGUUUAUGCUAAAAAUUGCAAUGAAUGAUGAAAAGUAUUGUAAUUUGUCUUGAAUGUUUUUUGCAAUGAAUUUCCUUUACAGUUCAUAGGCGCCAUCUUGGCUAAUCUUAACCGACCACAUUACGUAAUGAAAAAAGUGACACAAACCAGCAGGUUGUUAACUGUAAAACAAAAUGAACAAACUAAAGAUGGGUCAAUGUUUCUUUUUACCAGAAAUCAUUUUGCUUAUAAAAUAAAAUAACUUGAUCAACAUUAUAUUCAUCAUGUAACCUUCAAUCCACAAUUGUUAUUCACAUUUCUGAUUAACAUCAAUAAACUGUAUACUCGCACAUCUUUGGCCUCUAAAAAUAAUCACCAUACAGUUUUUUCUGCUCACUUUCACCAGCUGUUCUUUUAGAUAUAAAAAUUGUAUCUGGUAGUAGACGUGUACAGUCAUUAUUGCUAAAUAAACCUUCAACAGAUGGAGGUUGAAUCUUAUUUUUGUUUUGUUUUAUGCAUUUUAUUUUUUGCUUUAUUUACUGUGUUUCAGAAAAAUGAUCUUACAAUACAGC